CACUCUGGAGAGUCUUCAUAAAAGAAGCGCCGAAGGUGUACGGCAAAAAAGUGAUGGACUUACACUUUUUUGUUAAUCUCUCAGGCAAAAGGACAGAGCA
rnacentral:ncRNA from 1 species